GGACGAACGCUGGCGGCGUGCUUAACCCAUGCAAGUCGAACGGAAAGGCCCUGCUUUUGUGGGGUGCUCGAGUGGCGAACGGGUGAGUAACACGUGAGUAACCUGCCCUUGACUUUGGGAUAACUUCAGGAAACUGGGGCUAAUACCGGAUAGGAGCUCCUGCUGCAUGGUGGGGGUUGGAAAGUUUCGGCGGUUGGGGAUGGACUCGCGGCUUAUCAGCUUGUUGGUGGGGUAGUGGCUUACCAAGGCUUUGACGGGUAGCCGGCCUGAGAGGGUGACCGGCCACAUUGGGACUAAGAUACGGCCCAGACUCCUACGGGAGGCAGCAGUGGGGAAUAUUGCACAAUGGGCGGAAGCCUGAUGCAGCAACGCCGCGUGCGGGAUGACGGCCUUCGGGUUGUAAACCGCUUUCGCCUGUGACGAAGCGUGAGUGACGGUAAUGGGUAAAGAAGCACCGGCUAACUACGUG
rnacentral:rRNA from 1 species